GAUGAACGCUGGCGGCGUGCCUAAUACAUGCAAGUCGAGCGAACAGACGAGGAGCUUGCUCCUCUGACGUUAGCGGCGGACGGGUGAGUAACACGUGGAUAACCUACCUAUAAGACUGGGAUAACUUCGGGAAACCGGAGCUAAUACCGGAUAAUAUAUUGAACCGCAUGGUUCAAUAGUGAAAGACGGUUUUGCUGUCACUUAUAGAUGGAUCCGCGCCGCAUUAGCUAGUUGGUAAGGUAACGGCUUACCAAGGCAACGAUGCGUAGCCGACCUGAGAGGGUGAUCGGCCACACUGGAACUGAGACACGGUCCAGACUACUGCGGGAGGCAGCAGUAGGGAAUCUUCCGCAAUGGGCGAAAGCCUGACGGAGCAACGCCGCGUGAGUGAUGAAGGUCUUCGGAUCGUAAAACUCUGUUAUUAGGGAAGAACAAAUGUGUAAGUAACUAUGCACGUCUUGACGGUACCUAAUCAAAAAGCCACGGCUAACUACGUG
rnacentral:rRNA from 1 species